UACGAAGGGGGCUAGCGUUGUUCGGAUUUACUGGGCGUAAAGCGCACGUAGGCGGAUCGUUAAGUCGGGGGGUGAAAUCCUGGAGCUCAACUCCAGAACUGCCUUCGAUACUGGCGAUCUUGAGUCCGGAAGAGGUGGAGUGGAACUCCUAGUGUAGAGGUGGAAUUCGUAGAUAUUAGGAAGAACACCAGUGGCGAAGGCGGCUCACUGGUCCGGUACUGACGCUGAGGUGCGAAAGCGUGGGGAGCAACAGGG
rnacentral:rRNA from 1 species